UACGUAGGGGGCAAGCGUUGUCCGGAAUCAUUGGGCGUAAAGAGCGUGUAGGCGGCUCGGUAAGUCCGCUGUGAAAGUCCAGGGCUCAACCCUGGAAUGCCGGUGGAAACUGUCGAGCUAGAGUCCGGAAGAGGCGAGUGGAAUUCCUGGUGUAGCGGUGAAAUGCGCAGAUAUCAGGAGGAAUACCGGUGGCGAAAGCGACUCUCUGGACGGCAACUGACGCUGAGACGCGAAAGCGUGGGGAGCGAACAGG
rnacentral:rRNA from 1 species